rnacentral:rRNA from 1 species
UUUGGGUCACCUCCCACCCGUGUUUAUUUUACCUUGUUGCUUCGGCGGGCCCGCCUUUACUGGCCGCCGGGGGGCUCACGCCCCCGGGCCCGCGCCCGCCGAAGACACCCCCGAACUCUGUCUGAAGAUUGAAGUCUGAGUGAAAAUAUAAAUUAUUUAAAACUUUCAACAACGGAUCUCUUGGUUCCGGCAUCGAUGAAGAACGCAGCGAAAUGCGAUACGUAAUGUGAAUUGCAAAUUCAGUGAAUCAUCGAGUCUUUGAACGCACAUUGCGCCCCCUGGUAUUCCGGGGGGCAUGCCUGUCCGAGCGUCAUUGCUGCCCUCAAGCCCGGCUUGUGUGUUGGGCCCCGUCCUCCGAUUCCGGGGGACGGGCCCGAAAGGCAGCGGCGGCACCGCGUCCGGUCCUCGAGCGUAUGGGGCUUUGUCACCCGCUCUGUAGGCCCGGCCGGCGCUUGCCGAUCAACCCAAAUUUUUAUCCAGGUUGACCUCGGAUCAGGUAGGGAUACCCGCUGAACUUAA